rnacentral:lncRNA from 1 species
GACAUGUCUAACUUCACUAAAAGAUAAAAGUUGUGUGUUGAAUCUUGUAAAUAAUUUUUGCUUUGCAUAUCAUGCAUGUUAAAACUAAAAAUUCAACUUGCAUGUAGGGCUUGUCUAACAUGGUUAAGAUAACCCCCUUGAGUGUGUGAAAAAGCUUAACCUUGGAUCAAACUUGACAAGCAUUAGUUUACUUUCAAAAAUUGCACUACAACUCAUUUCAUAUGCAUUCUUGUUAAUUGAUCUUUUCUUUUCGAUUAUUUAUUGAGCAUCCGCUGUGUUCGUCCAUAGAUAGGGGGAGCAUUCCAAGCUCAUUAUGAAUCAAACCCCUAGCUUUAUGGCCAUACGAUGCUCCUUGGUGAUUUUCUCGAACUACUUUCUUUAAAAAAAAAAAAAUCUACUAAGCCUAUGGCUAAUUAUUUGUGAAAACUUGAGGGUUUGAGAGAUGUCACUCAUACCAGUUCCAUUUGGUGUUUAGUUGUGUGCUUUUGAAGAUGGAACUUGGUUGGGUCAAAG